CCCUCCUCCUCUCAUCUCUCAGCCGCCGCACAUCUCUCUUGUGCGCACGGACUCUAUCCUAUCGAGGAGUCUCGUCCCUAGGCACGGCGUGGCCUCAAGGCGGCGGUGAGCAUCUCGGGUGGCAGCUCCGCUGAGGUGAUGACAUGCUCCCAAGGCAGCGACUCGCACGCUGGGCGACGGUGCGGCCCUCUAGCGACAUUGUAGACCCAAGGCGGCGGCUCGCACCUCAGGCCGCGGCAUGGGCGCCGGCCCCUGGCGGAUGCUCAUCCCGUAGCAGCAGCCCAGCUGGUAGGUUCCUCUCCCUCUUGAUGUGGACUUGAUUUCAAUCUCCAAGGUGUAGAUCCAGUGGAGGAGAAGAUCUACGGAUGAUGUGGCGCCAUGGACCAAGGACUCCAUCUGCCUGCUGGUAGGUUUUUGCUUUGGAGAACGAGAGAGGACGAGUAGAUCUAGAGAUUUGGCUUUCAUUAAACAAUUAAUAUCUAGUGUAGCCGCAUGGUCUUCUUGAUUCAGAAGCCCGAACAAGCUAUAGAAAUCAGGAUAGCAAACUGUGAAUUCUGGAUAGUUGAGUUUAGUUGCUACCUGGAUUGUUGUGUCACAGGUGGACAAAUGUGAAAUCUGGUUGUUCCUUCACGUUUGAAAUAUAGUUGCCUCAUGAUUUAGUGAGAUAAAUGAGGUGGAAUGCACAAACUUUAUCUCUAAGUUCAGUAGAAUUGUAUACAUGUUUGUAGCUGAUAAACUGCUAUUAUUCUCUCUGUAUUGAAUCUAAUAUGCUGCUAAGUAUGCUAAUUUCUGUCAGCCACAUUACUUUAUUGUAACUUUCUGCAUUAUUUUGCAUUUCUUAUUGCAGCGCUUUGAGGUUGACAUCGGUUGAGAAGAUCAGCAUGGUACAUACAUGUUUCUAAAACUUUGUUUCAGCAGCUAGGUGAUCAUUAAGGUGUCCUUUCAUGUUUUUUUUCUUUUUGGCUGGUAGCCAGGCCUUUGCUCCAUUCGUUGCUAGUAUUUCUAGUAGUUAAAUGGUUCAGGUGCAGCCUGUUUUUCAGUUCAGUGUGUGUGGUAAAGUAUAUCUUUUUCAUAUCUUUGAAAUCACUGGAUUUUGAGUCUAUAUAUUUUGUGAGAGAUUUUUGAAUAUUUGCAGCUUAUCCUUUACUGUAUAUUUGUAGGAUCUAAAUUUCAGAGAGAAAAAACUGAAGCAGCUGGACUGAAGCAGUUCGGUACUUGCUUAUCACUACCCUUACACAUGUGCUGGUGGUGUAGGUUUAAAUUUAAGACUUGAGACCCUACAUGUGUAAUGAAUUGGUGUAUUGAUGUAAUGAUAUUGUAUUUACUGUGGAGAUGUUAAUUCAUUUAGAUCUGAUGUAUUAUAUGUUGAAAAAUUAUAUGGAUGCAAUUAUAUGGGCUGAAUUGUGUGUGCUAGGAAAAAAA
rnacentral:lncRNA from 1 species